rnacentral:tRNA from 1 species
GCCGGGGUGGCGGAAUUGGUAGACGCACUGGACUCAAAAUCCAGCGGUAGUGAUACCGUGAGGGUUCGAUUCCCUCCCUCGGCACCA